GGUUAAGAGAUAGACAGAUGUGAUAAGAAAGGGAUAUAUCAGACAUACGCAGAACGAACCAGUUUUUAAUUGCAUCGAAAAAUGCUUUUGCCCUAAUGUAUUUUGGUUAAUGCCUUCCACUGCAUUUGUAAAGAGGGUGUAAACAUAAGCCCUGAUAAUGGAGCAGUCUUUAAAAUAGGUGUCUAUUCUUGGCUUGAAGAACUUCAGAAGCAUGUUUCUUUAUUAAAGAAAGACUGCACGGUUUAUGCUUUGAAGAAAACAACUGCAGAUUUACCGAACUCAUGACAGUCAGAAGCCAGGCAUUUGCAGAGUCAAGACUGAUUGGGAAGAUACGCAUUCAAGAAAUUACCUUAAGAUUUGUUUCACCAUUAAAGCGACAUUCCCAGCUGUGCUCCAAUCAACUGGAUAAAAGCAGAGAACCCAUCAGAAGUUGUUCCUGGUUGACUAUCACCUUUCAAAAUAUGUGUAUGUGGGAAAAAGCCCCCAUCCCUUUCCGACUAUUAUUAAAAAUAAGUAAUGAUGUAUUAUAAGAUGCUUUUCAAGCCAGAGGGUUCCGAAACAUUUUGCAACUACACAUAUAAACAGGAAUUACUUCACCAGCCACUGAAAUGUGGCCACCUCUUGGACAAAAUGUGGCAGCUUUUAAUAAUGCAUAGCAACAUUCCAAAACAGUCAAGGCCUGGAAGUGAGGAGCAAACUUGCAUCCAACUAAAAUCACCUGGGAAAUUUCCUGGGCUGAGUUGUGCUGUGUUGGGAAGGAUCUCUUGUAACCAUAAGAGGCCAGGACAUUAGUCUUAUGUCUCCCUAGGAAAUUCAGCCCCAUUCUGUUUAGUGCUGGCUCAUGGUCACCUGCUAAAUCAUCCAGAUCCCAGACCACAAAAUGAUGGACGUUCCUCUGAAGUGUGGCCAGUUUUCCACACUGACUGAUGGAGGAGGCUGGACAGUGUGGAGAGGUGGCCUUGGAUGAGGAUCCUGGUGACCCGGCCCCUGCAACAAUAUUUGGAACUGUUAAUGGCCCAGGAUGAUAGAAGAGAAAGCUUGGUCCAGUUCUUCCUGGUCACUAUAAAAUAUGUUCUCUGACUUGAGAGACAUUUACCACAAACUUACAACUUUGAGUCUACCCCAUGCUUCAUAUUGACCUACCCAAAUGUGCCACAGUAUGUCAAAGAAGACCCAGAAGAGUCUCUUUGUUAGACCACUGUUUCAUUAGCAAAAACGGCUUCUCCUAGGCAGAAGAACUCCAUUUAUAAGUAGAUGAAUUUUGUCUAGAUUGGUUAAAUUUAGGGAAACCCACGCUCAUGACCACUUGUAUUUCCUCAUGCCUUCUGGUUGCCCAGGUUAGUGUAAUUACUUUUUGGCUAAAAGAGGGGAAUGGACCCAGCAUAGCAAAACCCUUGAGAGCCAGUGAGGGUAGUCUCACAGAGAAGCCUAGCUGUACACACAGUCAUGAAGAAGGAAGAACGAUUUCAAAUGAAUAACCUAAUGAUUAGCUUAUUAGUUGAUGCUUUGGAAAGAUCAGUAAGGUUGAGAAACUUUGGCUAGACGAGUAGAAAGAGGGGACAAUCAAGUGUGGCAGGGACUUGUUUCAUUCUCAGGGGCUUGAUGGUACCAAGCUGGUCUCUUGACUCAUCUGGAACUGAGAGUCUGUGUAGGACUCUCUUAGAAGAUGGAAGGUGGUGGUGGAGGAGGGUCCAAGGUCAUUCCCGCAAAGCUGUCUGACACGAGUCAGAUAAAAGCAUGUUUUCCACACUCCAGUUAUUCUUGUAAGAACAAAAAAAGGGAAUCACAAACACUGAAGGCAAUCUCAACGGUGGAAGAGAGAAGUCGGGUUGGGCUGGAGGGUGGAGUGUUUAAUAAAAUCAGGAGGAACCGGUGGUGGUGGGAUGACCUUUAGAGGAUGAUUGUCUAACCAAACUCUUGGCUCACAGCUCUUGCUGGUGAAUCCAUCCCUUUUCUUGCCCUGAAUCACUCCCUGAGACCAGCAGUCUUGUCUUCUCAAAAUGCAGGAGUCAGGGCUGUUGUUCCAAUUCACCAUAUCCUGGUGACACUUCUGAUUCUCCAUGGAAAAUUCCACUUUCCUAACUAGGUCCAAAUUAAAUAUUGACUUUACUAAUUUUAAAUCAUUUUGCCCAUAGACAAAUGUGUUUCCUAAGGACAUUUUGAGGAAAUGCUUGAGCAAUCCCAAAGAUGCCACUCCUACUACGUGAAGCUUCAUGGACAUGAGCAAAAGACAUAUGCCUGUAGCGACCUUCCCUGGGUGGAUGGACAAAGGCCUGGGCCCUAGAAACACCAUCCCUGACCAACACCGAAGAAAGUGCUGGGCCUUUAUGGGUGUGUCAAAUUGUGCCUGUUUUGUUAAAGCGAUCCUUUUUCCCUCACCUGCAACAUCAGAUCCUUCUCUGAGUUCUGAUGCUUUGUAUAAUCCUCCUCAGCCCUGCUUGAGAAGCACAGCAUUUCUCCCCGGGCCAUCAAUAGAGACUUCUGGUUUCUUCCUUAUCUAAUCCACACCCCAUCCAGUUUCUAUAGUGCCAGUGAGUUAUUUCUACAGAUGCAGUAUGGUGGUCCAGUUCCAGAAGGGCUUCCCGCCGACCACGGAGUGGAUACCAGAAGCCAGUGUCUGCCAUUUGAGAAGCAUUGCAAUCUAGAUCUAGGUCCUGAUCCUCAACCCCCUCCCCAACACCAUGUGCCCAAGCCACGCAAGACUCGUGAUUUCCUGAACUUGCAACAUUUUCCUUCUAUGCUUCCAAGCCUUCACAUGAUCACUGCUCUGACUGAUGUCUUGGCUGCAAUUUCAUGAGGCACCCUGAGCCAGAGCCACCUGGCUAAGCUGCUUCCGGAUUCCUGGCCCACAGCACUGGGAUAAAUGAAUGUCAUGAUUUUUAAGCUGCUAGUUGGGAAAAAUUUGUUAUAGGACAAUGGAUUCCCCUCUCUGGCCUGCUGUUGUUAUAGAUCAGUAGAAGGACACAAGCAACCUACCACUGUGUUGCUCAGAGUAGGCAAGACUGUGAGCCCAACAGCCAUGACAGAACGGCCCUCACCACACUUGACACGGUUUAGGAAUGAACAGCAUGCAGAUGAGAAGAGACAAGACCUGCAACGAACGUGAGUCAUGAGGUGGAGAAAGCGGAAGCAGCUGAGGGCCUUGCUGAGUGAAAUACAUCCAUAGCAUCUGAACUGGCCUUUCUGCUUCUCUCUGUCAGGAAGGGACAGCAGCGUGGAGAGGAGAAUGGAUAUUUUGAGAAGAGGCUGGCUAUUUUGCAAGUCUUCACAAAAAACAGAAGGUGUUCCUGUUCAUGUGGUUUGUGUGGUAGCCAUCGACCAAGAGGUCAGGGCCCUGUGAAGUCUGAUGGGAGCCAUGGCUUGGGUUUCCUGCCCGUCGCCUUGCUAUUGCUCCACGUCAGUUGUAGCUGUCUAUGAAUCCAUUUCAGGAGGAACAAUGGAAGAAGGCAGCAAAGUGCCCUGGGGUAUAGCCUCUUCUCUGUGACCAGCAAGCCCACAGCCUUGCAUGGCAUUGUGGCCCCAGAUGCACUGUGUCCCCCGUCUCCUUUUUCUGCUCCCUUUCUCCUGCCACCAUGACCAGGGUCCCCCAGGUCUGAACAGUUAUUGGGGACCUGCUCAGUAUGUUCUUGGUGUUCACACCUUUCCUGAGCUAUGAAGACUUGUGUACAGGAGGGAUACUUUACACAUCCUCCCUUACACCUUAUUCAAUGUGUUUUCUCACCUGGGAGCAUGAUUACUGUAAGCCUGUCCUCUGUGGAAAGAAAAGAUUCUCGGGCGCCUGGGUGGCUCAAUCAGGUAAGUAUCUGCCUUUGGCUCAGGUCAUAAUCUCAGGGUCCUGGGACCGAACCCAGCGUUGGGCU